GUAUGAACCAUCACAUAAUUUCCAAUACCCACAAGACCAUACCGAUAAUACGGUGUGGAACAGGUCCUGGUAAGGGAAAAUUUUGAGAGAAUUCAAAGACGCAGCUGGAUAGGGGUGUGGAGCAAGAUUCGUGGAGUUGACUGGGAGUUUGAUAUCUAAUUCUCAGGACCUACAAAUAGGAGUGUGUAGGGGCUUUUCAUCAUACCUGUUUGGAAAGCCAGAGAGAGAAGGAAAAGAUAGAACAAAAAGAGUGCCAGAAGCCAUUCAGGAUGGAGCUCAAGGCUAUGUGCUUCUAUGCUUUUCUAGUGCUGUUUGUGGGUGUGAUUGUAGGCUUAUGCUUGUGUGGGUUUUCAGGAGCUUUGGAGGGAGAAAUGAGAGACACAUUCAUACAACUACAUGGGAACAUGACAAGAAACAUCCGCAAUGGCUUCAUCACCGUCACGAUCAAAUCUCUCCAUUUCUUCAUUUCCAAGUUUCUGCAGUUCAGAUUCUCGGCGCCACUGCAUUCUGCGCCAUGUACCACCUCUAGGCUGCUAUUUUGGGUGGGAUUUACUCGAUCAAUCGGUUCUAUGGACUCCCCAAUUUCCUAGUCCAUACAAUGCAAGAAAAUCUUCAUAGCCCCAGGCCUCUCACCAUGUCUUAACCUAUUCUGGGUAGCAUUUACCCAAUCACCAUGUCUUAUGUUGCAGCAAUUUUUAGCAACAGAAGAGUCAAUUCCCAGUAUUCAUAUUCAGUCACUGUAGAAUAAAUAAAUAAAUAAAUAAAUAAAUUUUACUUGGGCAUUCCCUGGCUAAUGUGUGUUUAGGUAGCUGUCCACGCUCAAAUUUUCCCAUUGUUCUUCCUGUUUGUUAUUUUUAUACAUAUGGUUCAAACUUCAAAGAACUGCUAGAUGUAACCACAAUCAGAUGUCAAUCUAUAUGAAGAUCUAGAGAGACUACUUCCAAUCUUGUGGGGUGGAGAAGAGAAGGCUUUGGCAAAGAAUUGUGAAAUAGUGAAAUGGGCUCUGCAUCCCUGAACUUUCAGCUACUACAGACCCGAAGCAAUUAAUAUGGUCAAAUCCCAAAAAUAUGCAUAUCUCUUGAGUGUCUAAUAUCUUAAACACUAGCCACUUCGGGGCAGGGAGAACCUGAAAAAGAAUGAAGCAAAACAAUAUACUUCCAGGGAAAUACAAAUGGCCCAUCUUCAUUU